rnacentral:rRNA from 1 species
GAUGAACGCUAGCUACAGGCUUAACACAUGCAAGUCGAGGGACCGGCGCACGGGUGAGUAACACGUAUCCAACCUGCCCUUUACUCGGGGAUAGCCUUUCGAAAGAAAGAUUAAUACCCGAUGUAAAGGAUGGGGAUGCGUUCCAUUAGGUGGUUGGUGAGGUAACGGCUCACCAAGCCUUCGAUGGAUAGGGGUUCUGAGAGGAAGGUACCCUGCAUUGGAGAUGAGACACAGUCCAAACUGCGACGGGAGGCAGCAGUGUGGAAUAUAGGUGAAUGGGCGUUAGCCUGAACCAGCCGAGUAGCGUGAAGGAGGAAGGCUUAGGGGUGGUAUGCUUCUUUUGUAUAAGAAUAUGUAUUAUAUGAAUAAGGAUCGGCUAACUCCGUGCCAGCCGCCGCGGUAAUAC